GACGAACGCUGGCGGCGUGCCUAAUACAUGCAAGUAGAACGCGCAGUUUAUACCGUAGCUUGCUACACCAUAGACUGUGAGUUGCGAACGGGUGAGUAACGCGUAGGUAACCUGCCUGGUAGCGGGGGAUAACUAUUGGAAACGAUAGCUAAUACCGCAUAAUAUUAAUUAUUGCAUGAUAAUUAAUUGAACGGUGCAAUUGCACCACUACCAGAUGGACCUGCGUUGUAUUAGCUAGUAGGUGAGGUAACGGCUCACCUAGGCGACGAUACAUAGCCGACCUGAGAGGGUGAUCGGCCACACUGGGACUGAGACACGGCCCAGACUCCUACGGGAGGCAGCAGUAGGGAAUCUUCGGCAAUGGACGAAAGUCUGACCGAGCAACGCCGCGUGAGUGAAGAAGGUUUUCGGAUCGUAAAGCUCUGUUGUAAGAGAAGAACGGGUGUGAGAGUGGAAAGUUCACACUGUGACGGUAUCUUAACAGAAAGGGACGGCUAACUACGUG
rnacentral:rRNA from 1 species